UACGGAGGGUGUGAGCGUUAUUCGGAAUUAUUGGGCGUAAAGAGCGCGUAGGCGGUCUCUUAAGUCAGAUGUGAAAGCCCAGGGCUCAACCCUGGAAGUGCAUUUGAAACUAAGGGACUUGAGUAUGGGAGAGGGAAGUGGAAUUCCUGGUGUAGCGGUGAAAUGCGUAGAUAUCAGGAGGAACAUCGGUGGCGAAGGCGACUUCCUGGACCAAUACUGACGCUGAGGCGCGAAGGCGUGGGGAGCAAACAGG
rnacentral:rRNA from 1 species